rnacentral:rRNA from 1 species
ACCCUGCGGAAGGAUCAUUACCGAGUCUAUUAGGGUCUGAGACUGCGAUUGAUAUCGCGUGCUCGACUCUUUUAAACGCAUCUUAUACACCUUUUGUGCACUUUAUAGAGGGGGUUCCCCCUCUUUUAUAUUUAAAAACCUAGUUAUAUGCAUGGUGAUAUAGACACUCUACGGAGUAAUAUACAACUUUCAACAACGGAUCUCUUGGCUUUCGCAUCGAUGACGAACGCAGCGAAUGUGCGAAACGUAAUGUGAAUUGCAGAAUUCAGUGAAUCAUCGAAUCUUUGAACGCAUCUUGCGCUCCUUGGUAUUCCGAGGAGCAUGCCUGUUUGAGUGUCCGAAUACGCCUCAGUUUCUAUUUUGAAAUUGGAUGUGGGUGUUGUCGUGAUCACAUCACGACUCAUCCUAAAUGCAUUAGUGAUUCGGCUUUUUGAUCACAAUGUGAUAAAGUUUCAUCAUUGUUGCGAUCGAGAGCGUGAAUGGCUUCUAACCCUUUUAUUCCUGUCAUUUGACCUCAAAUCAGGUACGGGCUACCCGCUGAACUUAAGCA